rnacentral:rRNA from 1 species
UGUAUCUGAAAGGGCCAUUCCAGUGAAGACGAGUAGGGCGGGGCACGUGAAACCCUGUCUGAACAUGGGGGGACCAUCCUCCAAGGCUAAAUACUACUGACCGACCGAUAGUGAACCAGUACCGUGAGGGAAAGGCGAAAAGAACCCCGGAGAGGGGAGUGAAAUAGAACCUGAAACCGUGUGCGUACAAGCAGUAGGAGCUCCGCAAGGAGUGACUGCGUACCUUUUGUAUAAUGGGUCAGCGACUUACUGUUCGUGGCAAGCUUAACCGUAUAGGGGAGGCGAAGGGAAACCGAGUCUGAUAAGGGCGCAUAGUCGCGGGCAGUAGACCCGAAACCGGGUGAUCUAGUCAUGCCCAGGGUGAAGGUGCGGUAACACGCACUGGAGGCCCGAACCCACUCCCGUUGCAAAGGUAGGGGAUGAGGUGUGAUUAGGAGUGAAAAGCUAAUCGAACCCGGAGAUAGCUGGUUCUCCUCGAAAGCUAUUUAGGUAGCGCCUCAUAUGUAUCCUCUCGGGGGUAGAGCACUGUUAUGGCUAGGGGGUCAUCGCGACUUACCAAACCAUUGCAAACUCCGAAUACCGAGACGGACUGUAUGGGAGACACACGGCGGGUGCUAACGUCCGUCGUGAAAAGGGAAACAACCCAGACCCACAGCUAAGGUCCCAAAUUCACUGCUAAGUGGAAAACCAUGUGGAAAGGCACAGACAGCCAGGAGGUUGGCUUAGAAGCAGCCACCCUUUAAAGAAAGCGUAAUAGCUCACUGGUCGAGUCGGUCUGCGGGGAAGAUUUAACGGGGCUAAGCAGUGAACCGAAGCUUGGGGUGCAUACUUUGUAUGCGCGGUAGAGGAGCGUUCCGUAAGCCGUUGAAGGUGGAUUGAGAAGUCUGCUGGAGGUAUCGGAAGUGCGAAUGCUGACAUGAGUAACGAUAAUGCGGGUGAAAAACCCGCACGCCGAAAGCCCAAGGUUUCCUUGCGCAACGUUAAUCGGCGCAGGGUGAGUCGGCCCCUAAGGCGAGGACGAAAGUCGUAGUCGAUGGGAAGCAGGUUAAUAUUCCUGCACCUCGCGUAAGUGCGAUGGAGGGACGGAGAAGGUUAGGUGUACCAGGCGUUGGUUGUCCUGGGGAAAGGCGGUAGGUUUGGAUCUUUGGCAAAUCCGGGAUCCUUUAAGACC